AACGAACGCUGGCGGCAUGCCUAACACAUGCAAGUCGAACGAGACCUUCGGGAGUAGUGGCGCACGGGUGCGUAGCGCGAGGGAACCUUCACUUAGGUUCGGCAUAACUCCACGACAGGGGUGCUAAUGCCGGAUAAUGUCUUCGGACGAAAGAUUUAUCGCCUUUGUAUGGGCCCGCGUUGGAUUAGCUAGUUGGUAGGGUAAAAGCCUACCAAGGCGACGAUCCAUAGCUGGUCAGAGAGGAUGAUCAGCCACACUGGGACUGAGACCCGGCCCAGACUCCUACGGGAGGCAGCAGUGGGUGAUAUUGGACAAUGGGCGAAAGCCUGAUGCAGCAAUGCCGCGUGAGUGAUGAAGGCCUUAGAGUUGUAAAGCUCUUUUACCCGGGAUGAUAAUGACAGUACCGGGAGAAUAAGCUCCGGCUAACUCCGUG
rnacentral:rRNA from 1 species